GAUUAACGCUAGCGGCAGGCCUAAUACAUGCAAGUCGAACGGCAGCACGGGUAGUAAUACCUGGUGGCGAGUGGCGCACGGGUGAGUAACACGUAUGCAAUCUACCUUUAACUGGGGAAUAACCCUUCGAAAGAAGGGCUAAUACCGCAUAACACUGCGAUGGGGAUUCCCAAUGCAGUUAAACCUGAGGGGGUUAAGAUGAGCAUGCGUCCGAUUAGUUAGUUGGCGAGGUAAUGGCUCACCAAGACUUCGAUCGGUAGGGGGUCGUGAGAGGAUGAUCCCCCA
rnacentral:rRNA from 1 species